AGCGGCGGACGGGUGAGUAACGCGUGGGUAACCUGCCUCAUACAGGGGGAUAACAGUUGGAAACGGCUGCUAAUACCGCAUAAGCGCACAGUACCGCAUGGUACCGUGUGAAAAACUCCGGUGGUAUGAGAUGGACCCGCGUCUGAUUAGCUAGUUGGUGGGGUAGCGGCCUACCAAGGCAACGAUCAGUAGCCGACCUGAGAGGGUGACCGGCCACAUUGGGACUGAGACACGGCCCAAACUCCUACGGGAGGCAGCAUG
rnacentral:rRNA from 1 species